GUUAUUUGGCAGAGUUGAUCAUGUCAGUGUUAACCCAACUCCGCAGAGAUGUAAUUAAGCUCCGCCCAUGCCUUUCACCUCUUCGGUUAGAGACAGAGAAGACAAGUCUGCACCAUUUUCUACCUCUCAUGCAGUACUACACGGUAAGUGCAAUUAAGUUAAACUUACUGAAACAAUUAAAAAUUGAUGCUGAGAAUUUCAGUAUGAACAAUUAAAUAUCCACAGAGAAUAUAUGCCUUAUACAGCCGUGUUUGUUGCCAGGACUGAACAGUAAAUUUGUCCUCGUGGUUAGCUAGCUAGUUAGCAGUGUACGGUAAGCUAGCUAACAGUUUGUUACUAAAACUAUCUCCAACUUUAUCAAUAAUGAUUUAACAAUUCACAGGCAUACUCAAAGCUAGGAAAUACAAAGCAUUAUGAUUUUUAACUAUAUAAAAUCUUGUUUGAGGCUGGAGCCAACGUUUUUUUUUUUCGCUUUGAAGAUCAAAGGGACCUCAAAAAACGUGUCCCAACAUGCAGACGGGUGUUUCACGUGUCUAGUUCACGUGUCUAGCUAUCCAUCAGAUUCUAUGACCUGCAGUGUUGGAAAAAUUACUAAUUUACUUAGGUAAAAGUAUGUAAGUAUUACCAUUACUAUUAUUACCAAGUUAAAGCUAAAGUACAAAAUUAGCAGAAAAUCGGGGUGUGACUGAUAUAUAUGAAAUACAUUUAAGUGCAUCAUUGAAUACUUAUGAGUCGGUGCAUAAGCAGCCGAUUUUCUGGAAAGUAGCACUUUUUCCAAUACUGCAGGUCACAGAAUCGACUUUUUACCGUUCUUGCUUAAAUGUUUAUUUACUUUCUCAAACUUCAUUGCAUGUCUCAGUCAAAAUGCUGGUCCAGGUGAAGUACAGCCAACAGCAGAAGUAUGUAAAGUUGGAUGAGGAUGAAGGACUGUUUGACUUUCUGCAAUUCCAUGAAAAAGGUUAGCAUGGCUUACAAAAAAGGUUUUAAACCACAUCCAUGUUCUUUUUAAAGCUCUUUACAUGCCUUUAUCAGACUCUAAUACUGUAAAUGGGUGUACAUUGCUAAACAUUUUCAGUUCUGCAAUGUGUGCUUCAUAAAGUGUAAAGUAUAUAAUAAUAUACACCAAAACAGUCAAUAAAAAAAAAGGCAAUCAUCAAUUUUUAAAUUUGGACUUGGAAGGGAAUGGGUUUUGUGAGGGACAAAUGGUCUAUGUCUAUUCAAUGAUUAUACAAUGUUGGAUGUAUGUAUUUAACAUGCACAGUUAUUGGCUGUGAGGCAAGAAACAGUGCGGACUUCAAAAGCACAUUCAGUUUGACCUUAUCUAUUCCAGUCAUGGAGAGAUUUGGCCUGCCACCUGAUGCAAAUGUUAUAUACAAAGGAUGCAACAGGGACAGAAGUUGAUGCAGAAAUAUUCAGCGACCUCGUUGGACAAGGCAAUGUGGUCCUGACAGUUUUCUCAGAUCAGGAAUUCUCUGAUUUCUCCUUGUCUUCUGAGACGUCUGACUCAAGCUUCAGCUCAAGUGCAUCAACUAUAAUCCUAGAUGUUCCUAACAAGAGACAAAGAAUUGAGGAUACACGUGAUGCUGUGUCUGCUAAACAGUUGAUAGAAGCUGUGCUAAGAGGCAAGUCUGGAGGUGAAGAAGUACUACAGAAGUACCAAACAACAGAAACCCUAACAGAUGCUGCAAGAAGACAAAUGGUUAAUUUCCUGGUGGCUCACAUGAUUGACAAUCAUGGGCACUGCCCCACUAAAACAAUCAGAGAAGAUUAUGCACGUGGGAUAGUGAUGCUGUUCCCUUCCCUUAAGGAUCCAUACUCCAAGAAGGGCUAUGAACACUUCUAUGAUGCUGCAAGCAGCACAGGAUACAUUUCUUGGCGUCUGAAAACAGUCCAGAGGAAGAUUCGUCAAGGAUCUGCACAGCCACUCUUUCAUCUCCUUCCACCACCUCCAGGGGGACUGAAGUCUCCAAAAAUUAGUGCAUGUGAUGCAGUUGAAAGACUUGUUGUAUUUCAUAAGUCAUGCUGCAGUUUGGAGGAGCAUCUCCGCAACCAGCAGGGUCGGCAGCCGUACCUCCUCGCUGUUGGGCGUCAGAAGAGCAAGAUUGACAGCCUCUACAUCACCAUGGAUAAGCGUCUCAUCCCAUGCAAGGCAAACCGCUUCCUCGGGGCAUGUGAUGAACUUUUCAAAGCACAUUUUGUGUUUAAUUUGUCUUACGAUGUGGCACUUGUGAAUUUUUAUACAUUCCUGCAGACAACAGUGUAUAACAUUGAUGUGGGGAAAAUGAAGGAGUCACCCAGAGUUAAAGACUUGAGAGCAAGACUGCUUAACCAGCCAGUAGCAUUCUCACCCUGUGAGUAAGAAGCUAUAACAAUGCUGACCUGUUUCAUGUGUUGAAAAACAAGCUAUUUACAGAGAAUUUUCAUGACCAUCAUCAUGCAUUCAGAGUAUUACAAAAUGCGGAAAGAUGUUUACUAAAAAUGUCUGCGCUUAAAUUUCAUAAACCGUUUCAUAUUCAAAGCUCAUACAAUGUUUUGGAUGGAAGUUUGUACAUUAUACCUUCAUUCACAAUGUUUUAAUUCAACUGACUGCAAGGGAGAAAAGGAAUAAAUGUUUUUGAAAAUG
ensembl:lncRNA